GAAAGUGAAUAUAUCUACUGAGUACUGACAGGUGCAUUAAAAAUUAAGAAUGCAUCUAUUAGAAGCAAGGCAAAGGUAAAAGUUUGAAAUAUUGAUUUCUAAGCAAUCAGUUACCUUAAUAUGUCAGUUUCAAAUGUAUACACAAACUCACAAUCUUGAUAGUAUUAGUGUAUUACACACUGAUUUCUAUUUUGUUUAUCUAUCCUUCAUCUGUUGUAGUUUCUUGAUACAUCACUCUUAACAAUCUGAAGAAAAAAAGAGAACAAAACUCACUCAUCUAUGGAUAACAAAACAUAAAAAUCAUACGAUUGGUGGAGGUCUAUCGGAAAUAUCAUCUCUACUUUCUCAAGGUAUAGGUAAUGUCUGUCGAAAUCAUAGAUUGGUGGAGGUCUAUUGGAAACAACCUCUCUACCUUCUCAAGGUAGGGGUUAUGUCUGUCGGAAUCAUACACACUACCCUCGCUAGACUCCACAUGUGAGAUUUUACUGGGGUUUUUUGUUGUUAUUGUUGUUGUUAUACAAUUGGUGGAGGAGGAGUUUCCCAUAUAUCAAAUACAUUUUCUUCACUAUGAAGAGCGAAAAGACGAUCACCACCAAUUGAAAAAUCACAAAUAGAACCACCAUAGCUACGUCGAAGCCUUGAUGUAAGAACAUAAUCAGGACCACAGAACAAAGAAAUGCAAUCGUUCAUCGAUGAGAACAAUUGCCCCUCGUGCAAUGCCAGUUUAGGAUAACAAGGCUCAUCCGGCAUUUUCCCCUUCAUCAACCUACUUCUUGAGCUCCACCUUACACUUCCAGCAGUCUUUCUCAAAUCCAUAAACCCCAAAUCUUCAUACUCAUUCACCACACAAAUAGAGCUAGUUUCCUCCAUUGCUAUCGCGUCCCUAACUCUCCUCUCAUCCGUUAUGGGCGCGCCAGCAUCAGACCAUGACCAGACCAUACUCUUGUCCCUAAAAUCCAACAAACUUAUGUAACAAUUGUCCUUCCUUGGAAACAAAGUAGCAACCAACAAACAGUUAGUACCAUGUAACCAUUGCAACUUGUCAGCAUCACCAAGAGACCAACCAGGUGGCUCAUAGAAAAAAUCUAUCUGUUUUCCGGUAACUUGGUCCCAUACACCAAUCCCAUACUCAUUACUUCUACCUUUACAACUAGAAAACAACUUAUAAUCUGAGCUAAAACUCAAUGCACCAGCUGUAUAACUUUUCACUUGGUUUUCAUGUUUGACAUGAAAUUUGUACCUUAGCUCCCCAUUGGAUGCACUAAACAAUCCCAUACCUCCAUCCCCUUUACCUAAUCUUUCACAAGCACUUAACACGAUAUUCUCCGAAUCAACCCACCCUGCAUCAUUCACCCUUUGAUAAUCAAGAUUAAUAGCAGGGUGCUCUUCUAACAUCCAAUCAUAGACAUGAACCAUACUACCAUGAGCCACACAGCACCCGCCAUCCGGGCCAGCCCGGAUGGCUGUGCCAUCACCAGGAGCUCGGCCUGUCACUGACUUGGCUAGGCCGAGCCUGUUUCCAUCAAACGGACCCCACUUAGCUGACCUGACAUGAUCUAACAAACCAUAAUACAUAGACUCUCUAUAUAACAAUUUUUCAGGAAGAUUUUGUGGUAAAUAAAGCUCUCCUGUUCUGAGUAGGUCAAGAAGGACUGAGAAACAAUCAGGGUUCCUAUCAAUGAAAUGUUCAGUGGUUGUGGCAUCAGAAUUUAGGUUCCAAUCAUUAUCAAACAUGGCUCCAAAUAGCGAAUUCCGACCAGCAUUCGCCAAAGUUGUAGUUGUCGUUUCAAAAAUUCUACCACCAACAUUAAAUUUCACCCUAUCUUUUUGAAUUCCCAUUAUUCAAAUUUCAGUAUCUGAUACUAUGAGUCAAGAAAAAAACAGGGCUCUUGAAAUUCAAAGUUGAAUUGAGAAAAUACAGGAGCAAUAACUUCAAGAAUUAAAGUAGGUAGUAAUCAAAACGGAAUUUUUAUGAACAAACAAUUAAUUAUACUGAAAAUUUUGAAUUCAAGACUCAAUACAAUUAAGAGGACACAGCCUCAAAUGCCAAAUCACGUGGAAAAGACAGUAAGACACCUAUCAUAAUGAUGAUCACAAAGAAGGAAAACAGAGGAAAAUGGUGGUCAGAGAGAAAUAUAGAAGAAAAUAUCAAAAUUUUAAAAAAUCUAUGAUCUGGGUAUUAAGAUUGAAGGAUUUUAGAGAUGGGUUUUGAAUAUUUUUUCAAAGAUUUUUGGUCUAGAAAUGAGAAAAGGAGAAUUGGAGGGUGUCGGGUUUCAAAAAAAUUGAAUCUUGUUAUGUUUUGCUUUUGAUCUUUUCUCUCUCUUUUUUGAGGUCUUGCUAAGUCUGAAGUCUGAACACACUAAGCUUUUUAUUAAUUCAUUGUCUUAUGUAGGUCCCAUUUAUCCUUCUUUUGUUAUUGGCCAUUGAUUAUUUGGAUUUUUGAUCAAAUGGUCAAGAAAAAUAAGGUUGUUGUGUACUUAUAAAAAUGG
rnacentral:lncRNA from 1 species